rnacentral:rRNA from 1 species
AGCUCCAAUAGCGUAUAUUAAAGUUGUUGCAGUUAAAAAGCUCGUAGUUGGAUUUCUGGUUGGGGCCAACGGCGCACGUCGUGCGCCCGCGUCCCCUGCCAUCCGUCUGUUAAACCAGUAUGGCAUUCUCUUGCUGACUGGCGGCUCAGACAAUUUACCUUGAGAAAAUUAGAGUGUUUCAGGCAGGCUAGCGCCGGGAUACAUUAGCAUGGAAUAAUAGAACAGGACUUGAUUCUCUUCUGUUGGUUUGAGGGAGUUAAGUAAUGAUUAAUAGGGAUAGUUGGGGGCAUUAGUACUUAACUGUCAGAGGUGAAAUUCUUGGAUUUGUUAAAGACUAACUUAUGCGAAAGCAUUUGCCAAGGAUGUUUUCA